UUUUUUUGUGUGGUAAAUAUGGAAUGAUUAUUGAUUUUCCUUUAAAUUUGGAUUUGAGACAGAAUGUUGGUGCUAAUUCUCCUAUUCAUCUGUAAUUCUGUAUAACAGGUAAAUGCCAUGCUUGAGCGCCAAGUUACUGUUAGCAGAAUUCUUGGAUACACAGUUGUGUGAAUCCGGCUGCUCUUUUGUGAUUUGCUGAAUUUUGAGUCAAGGGUCUUUGGGAAACAACCUCUCUAACUCUACGAGGUGGUAAAGCCUGUGUAUACUACAUCCUCUCCAAACCCCACUUGUAGAAUUUUACUGGAAGUUGGGGUUUCAAGAAUGGAAGGUGGACUAAAUAAUCAAAUGCAUGUCGAAUUUUUUGUUGGAGUUGAUCGGAAGGAUGACUGAACAAGAUGUUAUUGUGAUCUGCGAGCAGAAAAGUGUACAUUAUAUAUCACUAUCGCCAAAGAGAAACAUAUGUAGAAGAUGAUAUUUCUCAUAUAAAGACUAGUCUCUAAACACGGGCUUUGCACGUCAUUUUUUACAAAUUUAUAGCACGAACUUAUAAUUUGAAGUGAAUAUCGAUAUCCAUGAUGAAUGUUGCUUGUACUACAGUUUUCAUAAUUUUUUUUCACUGUAUGUAAUUAUAUUUUCAUCGAGUAGGUGAAAUGAUGUAGAAGUGUUAUAUUCUA